rnacentral:rRNA from 1 species
AGCGAACGCUGGCGGCAGGCCUAACACAUGCAAGUCGAACGAAGUCUUCGGACUUAGUGGCGGACGGGUGAGUAACACGUGGGAACGUGCCCUUUGGUACGGAAUAACUCAGGGAAACUUGAGCUAAUACCGUAUGUGCCCUUCGGGGGAAAGAUUUAUCGCCAUUGGAGCGGCCCGCGUCUGAUUAGCUAGUUGGUGGUGUAAUGGACCACCAAGGCGACGAUCAGUAGCUGGUCUGAGAGGAUGAUCAGCCACAUUGGGACUGAGACACGGCCCAAACUCCUACGGGAGGCAGCAGUGGGGAAUCUUGCGCAAUGGGCGAAAGCCUGACGCAGCCAUGCCGCGUGAAUGAUGAAGGUCUUAGGAUUGUAAAAUUCUUUCACCGGUGACGAUAAUGACGGUACCCGGAGAAGAAGCCCCGGCUAACUUCGUGCCAGCCGCCGCGGUAACAC